GUCCCGGCCGCCCCACCCGGCCGGGCGCGCAUCGCGCCGGUGGUUUCGCCGUCGGAACCGGCCGGUUUCCCAGCCCGGAUCGACCGAGGCGCGCAGAGCAGGUCUUCGAUUCGCCACUGCGGCGCCGUCGUGUGAUCCCAGUCGUACACGCACGUCUCGUUCCAUUCGCAGAUCACAAGGCGGUGGGAUCGACGAGACGUCGAGGUCGAGACCGCCGAUCGAGUCCGAUCCGGCACAUCGCACAUGGGACAUGGCGUUGGCUUUUCCGAGUGAUCCGAUCGACGAGACUGUGAGGGACGCGACCCGGCUUUAAUUUCCUUGCCGCUCGAUCGGCGGCGUCUUUUCCUCUCCAUCGCGCACGCCCUCAAUGCACUGGUGCCGCUCCACCAGCGUUAGCGAGAACGAACGAAGCGGAGUGCUGGAACCCCACCAAGGAUCCACACGUGCGCGAAAGGGCAUCAUCAGAGGGCCCACGAGUGAUUCAAGAAGCUUCUUGCAGUUCGUCAGGUCAGGCCACACACCACUCUGUCUCUGUGUUGCUCGGCUGGUCCCGUCCCGGCCCCGGCGCAGCAGAAAGGUACGUGUGCUGCGGUGCAACGCGAUGCAUCCGUCGUCUCGUCUCGACGCAAAUGCUCGCAGGAAUAGAUGAGAACCGCAUAGAUAUGUUAGAUGCAUGCAUCUCUUUUUCUCGUCUCAGUUGUUUGUUCAUCUGUUGUAGUGUGUGUGUGCGGCACCUAACUUUGUUCACCCGCAAAACACGGCCGUGGGGCAUGCUGCGGGAUCUUGCAUUGUCAAAAUCCAAAGUACAAAUAAGACGCUAUUUUGUGGCAACGGAUCAGGAAUAAAGUUGACUCGGAAGGUCAUCAUAGUUGUUUACUGGAAGUUUGGUGCAUGCGAUCGAGUCAUCCUGCACUGUAUGUACUUAUAUGUCAGUUGACAUCGCUAAAGCUUUUCCGAAACGUACACGGAUCGGAGCACGAUCGCAUGAAUGAACUUUGGGUGAGAUGGGCAAAAUAUCUAGGCGCAGCAGCGAAAAUAAAAAGGACUGGACUGGAGCUUGUUGGGAACUGUUGAUGUUAGUGCAUGCCCAAUUAGGGUUGAUGAGUUUGAAUAAAGACUUCGAGUGGUGACCUGCCAACUUCCACCUGUGGUGUGGCGUCUCGAACGAAAACUGUGAACGCAGCAGCAAGAUACGUACGAAUGCAGAAUUAUUGUCAAUAUUGUUGUACUAUAGAAACGGGAAAGAAAAUCCUUCAUAAAAAGAAAGUGGUUAGGAAGAAAACGAAUUUUUACACGAACUCUUUUUCUUCCUAAAAUAUACGAAAUUCAAAGUUGUCUACCAUUAAACCAUUUCUAGUUUGAUCAGAAUUACCAAAAAAACAAUAUUUACGAUAUAAAAUGAGCA